AUGGGGAACAGCGGGGUGGAGCAGAGCCUCGCGGGAAAAGGUAAAUCCGCGCCGCUCGCCGGCCAAGAUGAAGAGGAGCGCAGCGCUCUGGAGGAGAAGCUCUACUGCACGAGGCUGGAGCUGCACAAGACGCGCGCCGUGUCCGCCGACGCGGACGAGACCAUCUGCAGGCUCGCCGCGGCCGCGCGCAGGAUGGCGCAGGAGCGGGACGAGGCCUGGAACCAGCGGAACGCGCUGCUCGCGGAGCUCCACGCCAGGAGGAACGCCCAGAUGAUGAUGGCGCUCGCGGCCGGGCCGCCCCGCCCCUUCGCCGGCUACAACGGCCGGCCCGCCUUCUUCGCCCCGGCCGCGGCGGCGGCGGCGCCGUUCGGCCGGAUGCCGACGCCCAUGCAGCAGAUGUACGCGCGCGCGGCCGGGGCCAGCUACUGCUUCGCGUCGUCGUCGGCGGCGGCCGCGGCGGGCAACGGGCUGUUCUUCCACAGCCUCGCCUCCUCGAGCCAGGAUCAAUUCGACCCGGACAUGUUCCUGGUGGACCCCGCGGAGUCGCCGGCGGACUCUGUCUCGGCCACCACGGGGAGCGCCGCCCCUGACCUGCAGGUGGCGAAGAGCUCCGGGAGCGAACUCGAUCUCGUGGCUGAACAGAUGCUCCGCACGCGGAAGAAAGGGAAGGUGGCCGAAGCUGUACGUGACGACGACGAGGGCCCGGCGUCGGUUGAGGUUGUCGCGGACGCUGGAGCGGCCGAGGCGGGCGGUUCGUUGGACGAGAAAUGCGGCGGCGGAGGUGGGUGUAGUCUCGCCGACGUGGUUAACUCUGCGGGCAAGAAACGCGAUGACGCUUCCUAG
rnacentral:rRNA from 1 species